rnacentral:rRNA from 1 species
UACGACGGGGGCUAGCGUUGUUCGGAAUUACUGGGCGUAAAGCGCGUGUAGGCGGGCCGUUAAGGCGGGGGUGAAAGCCCAGAGCUCAACUCUGGAACUGCCUUCGAUACUGGCGGCCUGGAGCAUGAUAGAGGCGAGUGGAAUUGCGAGUGUAGAGGUGAAAUUCGUAUAUAUUCGCAGGAACACCAGUGGCGAAGGCGACUCGCUGGAUCAUUGCUGACGCUGAGACGAGAAAGCGUGGGGAGCAAACAGG